UGGGGAAUAUUGCACAAUGGGGGAAACCCUGAUGCAGCGACGCCGCGUGAGCGAAGAAGGCUUUCGAGUCGUAAAGCUCUGUCCUAUGAGAAGAUAAUGACGGUAUCAUAGGAGGAAGCCCUGGCUAAAUACGUGCCAGCAGCCGCGGUAAUACGUAUGGGGCGAGCGUUGUCCGGAAUCAUUGGGCGUAAAGGGUACGUAGGCGGUUUUUUAAGUCAGGUGUCAAAGCGUGGAGCUUAACUCCAUUAAGCACUUGAAACUGAAAGACUUGAGUGAAGGAGAGGAGAGUGGAAUUCCUAGUGUAGCGGUGAAAUGCGUAGAUAUUAGGAGGAAUACCGGUGGCGAAGGCGACUUUCUGGACUUUUACUGACGCUCAGGUACGAAAGCGGGGGGAGCAAACAGG
rnacentral:rRNA from 1 species